GCUGUGCUAUGGAGCAAGCCCCUAGCCUGGCAAAUGAAUGGAAUACCUCCGCACUUGGGAUCUGAACCUGAGAACCCAGGCCUCCAAAGUAGAAUGCGUGGAAUAUUAACCACUUGGCCAUGGGGCUGGCCCCCUCCAACUUUAUCCAAGGGCAGAGUGGUUUAAAACCCUGGAGAGACAGCAACAGAGAUUUUCAAACUGGAGGGGUAAGCCAGAAUGAAGGCAGAAUAAAAAGGAGGUAAGUGAAAACUUUUCCCAAGUUAACUCAAGUUGUUGGUUGGAGAAAGUGGUUAUGCUGUGUAUUCCAUCUAAGUGGGGUCUUCUUUUUAGGACUGUCCCUAAAGAAAAGGAAGAUGGAAGUUGAGGAAUUUUAUUCUCUGCCCUCCUUCCAGGACAUCAGGAGGAAUAUAAACACACCUUCACAUACUCACAUACAAUGACACUGAGUGAAGAGAUUCUAGACUGGAAACAUAAUCUGAUGUUUUCUCCAUUUCUUGAACUAAUUUUUAAGUCAAAAUAUCACCUUCCUGAACUUGCUGUUUUUGUAU
rnacentral:lncRNA from 1 species